rnacentral:rRNA from 1 species
UACGGGGGGGGUAAGCGUUGUUCGGAAUUACUGGGCGUAAAGGGCGCGUAGGCGGCCCACUAAGUCAGACGUGAAAUCCCCCGGCUUAACCUGGGAACUGCGUCUGAUACUGGAGGGCUUGAGUAUGGGAGAGGGAUGUAGAAUUCCAGGUGUAGCGGUGAAAUGCGUAGAUAUCUGGAGGAAUACCGGUGGCGAAGGCGGCAUCCUGGACCAUUACUGACGCUGAGGCGCGAAAGCUAGGGGAGCAAACGGGG